AGGCUCAGCUUCCAUCACCGCGUGGCGGAGCCCGUGUCCGGGCCAGCCACCCAGCCCCACGGUGGGCCUUGCCUCGUCUGUUAGGUGGUAUUUUCAUCUUUGGUCAGAUGACAGCCCCCAUGCUCCAAAAAUUCUCCUGCAGCCAGGGCUUGGAGAAUCCCGACCCCUCUCUGGCAUGAACCUCUCCUCAUCCAGGGUGGCUUGUGUGGUAGAGCCAGGGGAAUGGAGAAGAUGACCUCUGAAGCCUGAAGGCUCUUUGGGAAGCAGGACACAAACAUCCUGAAGAGCCAGCCUUGAGCUGGCUGCACAAGAGACUCAUAGACUUUGCGUCAACAUCCACCUCUCCAGGCUGCAGUGGGUGUACCUGUUCACCACCACCUCCAGCAGCACUGUCGCAGCGGAGCAGUUCUUACAGCCAAUGAGCUUCCACACCACCUCCCUGCAGUUCUCUGCAACCGAGGCUCCAUCCUGCACUGAUGGGCUGCCUGACACGUCGGCCUCAACAAGCAUUUCCAGCACAUUCUCAGCUUUCCUGCUCUGCUGGGCAAAACACAGGGUGAGAAGGGGAGAGGAAGAACGGGACUGUGGCCCAGUUCUAGGCUUGGAGUCUAGCGAGGAACACCAGGUGCCUGCAUUAAAAGGUAAAGGACCGUGCAGGUGGUUUGAAUUUGUGUUUGGAUUUGGUCAGAGGCUCUGACCUCUCUGGGCCUCAGGACUUUUCCUAACCUUUAGGCUGCCCUGUUCUUGGUAUCUCCUCACUCUUGUUCUUGGUAGCCUUCCCUACCCCCCAUAGCCACUUUUGUCCUAGGAUGAAUUAUCACUGCGAGGGACACACCACUAGUCCUGCCCUGGGGCCCUUGCCACUGCUCUUAUCCCACCUUCACCACCUGCACAGUCCCUUCUGUCCACCUGUGUGCACAGGUAUCUGCAGGCUGCACCAUCUCUGUCCAAAGCCUGUAAGAAGACAGCCACGGGAAUGUCUAGUGCUUUCCAGGGGGGGCUGGGAAGAAGUGGCAAUUGGUCACCUCCCUAUACCUGAAUCCACUGAGCAUCCUCUGAGUCCCCUGCUCUGUGUCUCCCCAUGGGGCACCUGGCCCCCAUCCCCCCAGCCUGCUGGCCAGGCCCUGCUGCCCUCUCUGGGUGCUGCCCUGACUCAGCCCAUUCCAACUAAGUUCUUAAUAGUCCCAGCUUGAAGCUCAGUGGACGCCUGUCUUGGGCGUGUAGUUCUGGAAUUCUGUUCUCCUUCCAGGCCCACCCCCCACCACACACACACACACACACACACACACACACACACGUUCCUCUUAGACCCCAACAUUUGGGCUGGCGCUUUGGAUGGCCUCAGCCACAUUUUCUCUUUUUUUCCUAUUUUAUUUUUUGAGAAACAGGUCUUGCUAUAUUGUCCAGGCUGGUCUCAAACUCCUGGACUCAAGCAGUUCUCCUGCCUCAGCUCCAAGUUGCUGGGCUUACAGGUGUGAGCAAGUGCAACUGCUCAGCUGCAUUUCCUUGAUGUGCUUGUAGAAUACCUCCUGCUUCCCCAGCAUCCAGUUUGCUCCCUCCCUGCCUCUUCCAACUUAACCCUCACUCCAUCGCAUCUACAGCUCUCCUUACCCCAGCCCUGGUCCUCUUCUCUGCUCCCAGCCCCCCGGGUCAGGAAUGUAUGUUAGUAUCAGAAACUGGCCAGAGCUCAUCCUCUUGUCCUCACUGUAGAGCUGCUCCCAGUGGAAUGGCUGAGUCCCAACCUCCACCAUAGCUGCGGCUGGAUAGCCCAGGGUGUGAGCCCUGGGCUGGGGCCAGGAGGGGUAGAGGUCACCUUCAGCCUUCCGACAAUGACAUCUUGUUACAGGAAUGGCUUGAGGCUUCCAAAUUCACAUCCUCUGGUUUGCACAAACAGGCCAGGCAGCUGCACCUCUGAGCUGCCUCCAGUCCAUGGUUAAUUGCCAGAAAAUAAUUCGCCCUGAGGUCAUUGCCGUUUAAACAGCUGGCUUCGUCUUUUCCUGUUUGGCCGGUCGUUCUGGGCUCCCUGGCCCUCCCUCCACCUGCUUCUGUGAUCCUCUCAAACACAGCCGGCUGGGAGCCUCAGGCUGGGCUCUUCUCCCUCCAGCUUAACUUGGCGACGUCUUGAUCCUUGUGUUGUGCUGAUGCGAGGCUGUUCUGGGAAUAGGCUAGUCCCUCCACCUUGUCGUGACCUGCCUGGACACCGAGCCUCCACCAUCAGGCUAUCACUUGCAGGAAAUUUUGCAAACCCUGUGUCUCUCUAAUCAUACAGGAUGGUUGGAGAGACAAAAGAGGAAAAUGAAUGCUUCCACGAAGCUCCCUCUUUGUGGCAGAAUCAGUCCAAUGGAGAAAUUCUGAAAUUCCAGUUUUACAAAGUUCUUCAAACUUACCUCAAGGAUGGCACCAGCUGAAGCUCAGUUGCCCUGUCUCUUAUGCACCAGUGCAUCUGCCCCAGAAACUCUUAUCUGGGGCUCAGUUUGCCCCCAUGUGGUAUAAGUCCCUCCAAAGAUUCCAUUUCUAGUUACUCGUCUCAAUGUCACAAUGAGAAAUAUUUCUGCAUAUUUCCUGCAAAGCGUCUCAUUAAAGAAAGUAUUGGUUUGAUUCAGAAAAU
ensembl:lncRNA novel transcript